CAACCAAUGAUCUCACGAUGCAGCUCUCCCCGCAAUACUGCGAUUCGCGACAAAGGGUUCUACAUAUAUAUAUGACAUUCGAUGGACAGACUCUCUCCGCAGCACACGAGACCACGACGAACGGCUCUCGCUGUAGUACUUUAGAACCUCCGAUAAGUUUUGCACCGGUAGACUGCAAGAAAUUGUAUUAUCUAGGAUUCGAAUGUUCGACCUGGUAUAGAAGCUUUUAAAUCCUUAACCAAUAUGAGUGGAAGCAUUAUAUUCG
rnacentral:lncRNA from 1 species